rnacentral:rRNA from 1 species
UACGUAGGUGGCGAGCGUUGUCCGGAUUUACUGGGCAUAAAGAGCGCGCAGGCGGUCGUUCAAGUCGCGUGUGAAAGCCCCCGGCUCAACUGGGGAGGGUCACGCGAUACUGAUCGACUCGAAGGCAGGAGAGGGAAGUGGAAUUCCCGGUGUAGUGGUGAAAUGCGUAGAUAUCGGGAGGAACACCAGUGGCGAAGGCGACUUCCUGGCCUGUUCUUGACGCUGAGGCGCGAAAGCUAGGGGAGCAAACGGG